rnacentral:rRNA from 1 species
UACGAAGGGUGCAAGCGUUGUUCGGAUUUAUUGGGCGUAAAGCGCGCGCAGGCGGGUCAUUAAGUCAGGUGUGAAAUCUCGGAGCUUAACUUCGAAAGUGCGCCUGAAACUGAUGAUCUAGAAUCUCGGCGGGGGUAGGGGAAUUUCGCAUGUAGGGGUAAAAUCCGUAGAUAUGCGAAGGAACACCGGAGGCGAAAGCGCCUACCUGGACGAGUAUUGACGCUGAGGCGCGAGAGCGUGGGGAG